GUGUUCACUUUGGGAGGACAAAGUCCAGAACCGGAAUGAGACACAGAUGAUUAGCACGGCCUUUGUACAAGGAUGACUUGCAAAUGUGUGAGGCACACCAUAUUAAA
rnacentral:snRNA from 14 species